rnacentral:rRNA from 1 species
CACAUGCAAGUCGAGCGGCAGCGGAAAGUAGCUUGCUACUUUGCCGGCGAGCGGCGGACGGGUGAGUAAUGUCUGGGAAACUGCCUGAUGGAGGGGGAUAACUACUGGAAACGGUAGCUAAUACCGCAUGACCUCGAAAGAGCAAAGUGGGGGAUCUUCGGACCUCACGCCAUCGGAUGUGCCCAGAUGGGAUUAGCUAGUAGGUGAGGUAAUGGCUCACCUAGGCGACGAUCCCUAGCUGGUCUGAGAGGAUGACCAGCCACACUGGAACUGAGACACGGUCCAGACUCCUACGGGAGGCAGCAGUGGGGAAUAUUGCACAAUGGGCGCAAGCCUGAUGCAGCCAUGCCGCGUGUGUGAAGAAGGCCUUAGGGUUGUAAAGCACUUUCAGCGAGGAGGAAGGCAUCAUACUUAAUACGUGUGGUGAUUGACGUUACUCGCAGAAGAAGCACCGGCUAACUCCGUGCCAGCAGCCGCGGUAAUACGGAGGGUGCAAGCGUUAAUCGGAAUUACUGGGCGUAAAGCGCACGCAGGCGGUUUGUUAAGUCAGAUGUGAAAUCCCCGCGCUUAACGUGGGAACUGCAUUUGAAACUGGCAAGCUAGAGUCUUGUAGAGGGGGGUAGAAUUCCAGGUGUAGCGGUGAAAUGCGUAGAGAUCUGGAGGAAUACCGGUGGCGAAGGCGGCCCCCUGGACAAAGAC